AUUGAACGCUGGCGGCAUGCCUUACACAUGCAAGUCGAACGGCAGCACGGGAGCAAUCCUGGUGGCGAGUGGCGAACGGGUGAGUAAAGUAUCGGAACGUGCCCAGUCGUGGGGGAUAACGUAGCGAAAGUUACGCUAAUACCGCAUACGACCUAUGGAUGAAAGCGGGGGAUCGCAAGACCUCGCCCGAUUGGAGCGGCCGAUAUCAGAGUAGGUAGUUGGUGGGGUAAAGGCUCACCAAGCCGACGAUCUGGAGCUGGUCGGAGAGGACGACCAGCCACACUGGGACUGAGACACGGCCCAGACUCCUACGGGAGGCAGCAGUGGGGAAUUUUGGACAAUGGGCGAAAGCCUGAUCCAGCCAUGCCGCGUGCAGGAUGAAGGCCUUCGGGUUGUAAACUGCUUUUGUACGGAACGAAAAGGUUUGGCCUAAUAAGCUGAGCUCAUGACGGUACCGUAAGAAUAAGCACCGGCUAACUACGUGCCAGCCGCCGCCGUAA
rnacentral:rRNA from 1 species